UACGUAUGGAGCAAGCGUUAUCCGGAUUUACUGGGUGUAAAGGGAGCGCAGGCGGUCAAGCAAGUCAGAUGUGAAAACCCGAGGCUCAACCACGGGACUGCAUUUGAAACUGCCUGACUAGAGUACCGGAGAGGUCAGUGGAAUUCCUAGUGUAGCGGUGAAAUGCGUAGAUAUUAGGAGGAACACCAGUGGCGAAGGCGGCUGACUGGACGGUAACUGACGCUGAGGCUCGAAAGCGUGGGGAGCAAAC
rnacentral:rRNA from 1 species